UACGUAGGUGGCAAGCGUUGUCCGGAUUUAUUGGGUUUAAAGGGCUCGUAGGCGGCCAACUAAGUCAGACGUGAAAUCCCUCGGCUUAACUGGGGAACUGCGUCUGAGACUGGUGAGCUUGAGUGCAGGAGAGGAACGCGGAAUUCCAGGUGUAGCGGUGAAAUGCGUAGAUAUCUGGAGGAACACCGGUGGCGAAGGCGGCGUUCUGGACUGCAACUGACACUGAUGAACGAAAGCCAGGGGAGCAAACGGG
rnacentral:rRNA from 1 species